UCUGGAGAUUCAAAGAACUUUUUAUGUUUAUGUAAAAGGCCAGACCGCCUCGGUCCAGAGAGGAAGAGGAGAAGAGUGGACACAACGGCAAUAAAUAAGUCUUCGUGGGUGAGUAUUUGUUGCGCCAGAGCUUUUCGAAAGAAAUUAGUUCUUUUCAGUCCAGGGCCAUUAAAGAAACAGCUGUGAGGGUCAAGCAGACUUUGCCACCUGAGGUGCAAAAGAAGAUGGCUACACCCAAAAUGAGUCCCAGGCCCACAACAUAUUUCAAGAGCCCUGAUGAAAAUUUCACCAGAACCAAUCAGACUCUAAAAGAAGGCUAUAAGAAUUAAGAAAAACCCUCCUAUCAGCCGGUAUCAGAAGGUACAUGUAGUAUUACUUAUUUAUUACUUUACUUCUUAUAUCAAAGAGAUUGAAACUAUUUAUAAUCUAUGCAGGCACCCAGAAUGCUCGGGUCACAAGGAACGUGGAGAAAAGACCUGGAGAGGAGGGAGCAAGAAUGCAAAGCAUGACGUGAGGUCAUGCUUUGACGAAAGGGGAAACACUGGACCAAAGAACUCCAGCACCCCAGUUUACUGUCCCAGACCUUUUCACCAAAAUGAACAAUAUGACCACCAGCCAGAAGAAACCUGCAAAACAUGCGUCACCAGGGCCGCCGUCAGUUGGGAAACACGUGGUCAAAAAAGUCCCUUGGCCAAAAAGUCCUGGGCACGAGGAAAACACAAGGACCUGUGUGUCACUGUCACUUUCUAAAUCAAUAAAAUAAAAGUAAUUUGUUGUCUUGCUA